rnacentral:rRNA from 1 species
GAUGAACGCUGGCGGCGUGCCUAAUACAUGCAAGUCGAGCGAACAGACGAGGAGCUUGCUCCUCUGACGUUAGCGGCGGACGGGUGAGUAACACGUGGAUAACCUACCUAUAAGACUGGGAUAACUUCGGGAAACCGGAGCUAAUACCGGAUAGUAUAUUGAACCGCAUGGUUCAAUAGUGAAAGACGGUUUUGCUGUCACUUAUAGAUGGAUCCGCGCCGCAUUAGCUAGUUGGUAAGGUAACGGCUUACCAAGGCAACGAUGCGUAGCCGACCUGAGAGGGUGAUCGGCCACACUGGAACUGAGACACGGUCCAGACUCCUACGGGAGGCAGCAGUAGGGAAUCUUCCGCAAUGGGCGAAAGCCUGACGGAGCAACGCCGCGUGAAUGAUGAAGGUCUUCGGAUCGUAAAACUCUGUUAUUAGGGAAGAACAAAUGUGUAAGUAACUAUGCACGUCUUGACGGUACCUAAUCAGAAAGCCACGGCUAACUACGUG